rnacentral:rRNA from 1 species
CCUACGGGAGGCUGCAGUGGGGAAUAUUGGACAAUGGGGGGAACCCUGAUCCAGCCAUGCCGCGUGUGUGAAGAAGGCCCUCGGGUUGUAAAGCACUUUCAGUGAGGAAGAACGCCUGGUGGUUAAUACCCAUCAGGAAAGACAUCACUCACAGAAGAAGCACCGGCUAACUACGUGCCAGCAGCCGCGGUAAUACGGAGGGUGCGAGCGUUAAUCGGAAUUACUGGGCGUAAAGCGCGCGUAGGUGGCUUGAUAAGCCGGUUGUGAAAGCCCCGGGCUCAACCUGGGAACGGCAUCCGGAACUGUCAAGCUAGAGUGCAGGAGAGGAAGGUAGAAUUCCCGGUGUAGCGGUGAAAUGCGUAGAGAUCGGGAGGAAUACCAGUGGCGAAGGCGGCCUUCUGGACUGACACUGACACUGAGGUGCGAAAGCGUGGGUAGCAAACAGGAUUAGAUACCCUAGUAGUC